rnacentral:rRNA from 1 species
UGGGGAAUAUUGGACAAUGGGCGCAAGCCUGAUCCAGCCAUGCCGCGUGUGUGAUGAAGGCCUUAGGGUUGUAAAGCACUUUCACCGAUGAAGAUAAUGACGGUAGUCGGAGAAGAAGCCCCGGCUAACUUCGUGCCAGCAGCCGCGGUAAUACGAAGGGGGCUAGCGUUGCUCGGAAUCACUGGGCGUAAAGCGCACGUAGGCGGGUUGUUAAGUGAGGGGUGAAAUCCCAGGGCUGAACCCUGGAAC